AUGUGAUCGUCUCUCGCAUAUCAAUAAGCGGAGGAAAAGAAACUAACAAGGAUUCCCCUAGUAACGGCGAGUGAAGCGGGAAGAGCUCAAAUUUGAAAUCUUAAAGGGUUUCCCUUUACGAAUUGUAGUUUAAAGAAGUGUUUUCUGUUGAGGUUUUGGUAAAAGUUCUUUGGAAUAGGACAUCAUAGAGGGUGAGAAUCCCGUAUUUGACCUUUACUUUCAGCUUUGUGAUACACUUUCAAAGAGUCGGAUUGUUUGGGAAUGCAGUCCAAAAUGGGUGGUAAAUUUCAUCUAAAGCUAAAUAUUGGCGAGAGACCGAUAGCGAACAAGUACCGUGAGGGAAAGAUGAAAAGAACUUUGAAAAGAGAGUUAAACAGUACGUGAAAUAGUCAAAAGGGAAGCGUUUGACACCAGUGUUGUUUUUCUGAAAAUCAAUUAAAGAACUGUUUAUGCUAAGUUGUUUAGACUUUAUCAGCUAACUGUUUAGUUUUGAGCUUUUCUUUAAUGCACUUUUCAGUUAACAAGUCAACAUCAAUUUCUUUUGCUGUAAAAAAGCUUGAGGAAGGUGGCUUGAGAUUCGUCUUAAGUGUUUAUAGCCUCUUGCCUAUGCAGUCGGAGAGAUUGAGGUCUGCAGCGUAGAUCCUUCGGGGCUAAAUGCAUUUGUGCUAAGUUAUAGCAUUUUAUAGACAACUUGUUGACUAUGAUUUGUCUUGUAGCUUACUCGCUUAUGUUAUUUUACCUACGCUUAGGAUGUUGAGUCUGUAGUGCGUGCGC
rnacentral:rRNA from 1 species